UGGGCCUAUAAUGUCUAUGACAUUAAUUUGAUGGGAUUUUGCUACGUGAAUGUACAGAAUAGUAAAACUUGGGUUUCAAAACACCAUGGGCUGUCGUGCAUCUGUUUUAUCUGUGAACUCAAAAGCCUGGAGGCAGAACAGUUUCUUAAAUGCCAUGGUUAAACUAAGUGCUAGGGAUGGAUAUGGGGACAACGUGAAUUGUUGAGGUGUGUAUAAAAGAAAAUCAGAUUCAAAGAAAUUAUCAUCUGGGAAUAUUUGAGCCAUACUGAAGCUAGCAUUGUAGGUUAGAAUACAUUAUCUUUGUAAAACCAGCUGACAAUGCGGUGUUAAAAUUUUUACUCAACUGAUGCUAUUUAAACCGGCAUAUUCUGUUUAUUGUGUAGGGCUUUUCUUUGAAUAUGUUCAAAGAAAAGAUAUUUAAACCACAAAGAGGCAAGAUCAUGCCAUAUCAUUUAUGGAGAAGAUGUGAGUACUAAAGCUUGAUGAGAAGAAACAUGAGAACUAUUAAAAGCAGUUUUCUGUAACCAACAUGCUAUUGCCACACACUCCCAACUUCAUUAUUAAUGGAAAAAGUUUUCCCCUCUUUAUUUAAAUCUAAAAUAUUUUUGGCACCUUGUGCUCUCAGAUAGGUGUAUUAAGUUACUUUGCAAUGUGAAUCUUCACUACAAUCUAAUAUUAGCAAAGGUCUUCAAGAAAAUAGGGUCCUGGCAUUAGAUUGACCUUUAGUUGAAAUGGUCUAAUAUCUAAUAAUAGGGGUAGAGCCAAUUGACAAAACACUUGAGGGAUCCACUAGAGGGCAGUAAAGUGUAAAUGAAAUUUAAAUUUGCCCCAGAAAGGCGAAUGUUAUCCCAAACAUUUGUAUUGCAAGUAAGAUUUCUUGAAUGCAAAAACAUUAGAUUAGAUUAGUGAUGUACAGUGUUUCUCUUUUCCUGGAAUUAGUAGUCAAAGAGCCAUUAGAUUGAAGAGCAAAAUGAAAAUCAAAUUGGUUCUAGUCUCAGCUCUUUUUACUGACUGUGUGAUUUGGGGCAAUCUAAAAUUUGCUUCUCUGGUCCACUUCUAUGGUAUAGAUUUGCACAAAAUGAUUAUUUUUAAAUAUUUACUUAUUUGUUUAUUUAUUUAUUGAGACAGUUUCGCUUUGUUGUCCAGGCUGGGGUGCAGUGGCGCGAUCUUGGCUCACUGCAACCUCCACCUCCUGGGUUCAAGCAAUUCUCCUGCUUCAGCCUCUCGAGUAGCUGGGAUUACAGGUGUGCACCACCACACCUGGCUAAUUUUUUUGCAUUUUUAGUAGAGACAGGGUUUCACUAUGUUGGUCAGGCUGGUCUCAAACUCUUGACCUUGUGAUCUGCCUGCCUCGGCCUCCCAAAGUGCUGGGAUUACAGGCAUGAGCCACCGCACCCGGCACAAAAUGAUUAUUAAAGUUCUUUUCAACUCUAAAAUUUUAUGAUUUUAUCAUUUAUGAUUCUAUCUCAGCCUAUUUAAAACCUUUUUGAUUAGACUCAGAUUAUUUGAUCAACCAUAACUUGCCAUUAAUGGUGAUUCUGUUUGGAAAUCACCACCACUAUUUCAUAAAAAAUUUAGAUCCCUCAAAUGCACUGAUUUACUUUCACGAAAAAAAUCUACUUAAUAAAAUGACAUGUAUAUAAUCUAGUGACAAUAGUUAUUGCAACAUCUUCUGGAAUAAAAACUUGGGCUAUUGAAACUAUCAAUGCCAUUUUUUAUUUUAAAAACAGAAAAAUUAAAACCCACAAUUAUACGUAGCCAAGUUGUUUUCAUUCUCCAUUUAUUUUCCUUUUAAAGUGCUACAUUUGUGAACUCAUUAGCAGUUACCCUAUCAAAAUUUCAAAAUCAUGAGGAAGGUUAUACAUAAAAAAUGAAUGUUGGCUUGAGGGCCAAGGAAAUAUUGACUGAUUAGACAGAAGAGCACAUGAUAGAUCUGAACUACUGUAUGUCAUCAUUCAUUUGGUCAACAACUGCAAGCUUCUGGAUGUGGCUGAUUUUGAUAAAGUCAUAGAAUUCACAGUAUUCUUCACAUUUGUUCAACGGUCAUCAUAAAUACACAUCAAAAUAACCCUAAUUUGUGACUGAAACAGAAACUCUUUUCUUUUUUCUUCAAAUUUUGUUUAAUAUUUAUUUUAUCAAACUCUUUUCUAAAUAGCAUUUUUAAUGAACAUGAAUGGAUAAAACUGUGAACAAUUUUAAUAAAAGCAGAAACUGGUCGGGCAUGGUGGCUCACGCCUAUAAUCUCCGGCUUCAGGUGGAGGUGUUUUCCUCG
rnacentral:lncRNA from 1 species